rnacentral:rRNA from 1 species
GAUGAACGCUAGCGACAGGCUUAACACAUGCAAGUCGAGGGGCAGCACAGGUAGCAAUACCGGGUGGCGACCGGCGCACGGGUGAGUAACGCGUAUGCAACUUACCUAUCAGAGGGGGAUAACCCGGCGAAAGUCGGACUAAUACCGCAUGAAGCAGGGGUCCCGCAUGGGGAUAUUUGCUAAAGAUUCAUCGCUGAUAGAUAGGCAUGCGUUCCAUUAGGCAGUUGGCGGGGUAACGGCCCACCAAACCGACGAUGGAUAGGGGUUCUGAGAGGAAGGUCCCCCACAUUGGUACUGAGACACGGACCAAACUCCUACGGGAGGCAGCAGUGAGGAAUAUUGGUCAAUGGCCGAGAGGCUGAACCAGCCAAGUCGCGUGAGGGAGGAAGGUUCUAUGGAUCGUAAACCUCUUUUAUAAGGGAAUAAAGUGCGGGACGUGUCCCGUUUUGUAUGUACCUUAUGAAUAAGGAUCGGCUAACUCCGUG